ACCGCGCUGCACGUCAGCACGACCGAGUGCGUCAGCACGCAAGCACGAGAGCCGCUGGGCCCUCUGGGAGCCGUAGUGCUCUGUGCGCAGGCGUUGAAGCCACACGGUGCAAUUUUCAAAAUCAAAGUAACAUUGAAAGCUGGGCAUGCAUAUUGGUUCUCCCAGGACUCAGGAGACUGCCACAGGAGGAUCCCUGUGAGUGCAAGGCCAGCAUGGACUGUGUGACAAGAGCCUUCUCAACAACAACAGCAGCAAGGAUGCAGGGCUAACGAGAUGGGCUCAACUGGGAAAGGAAUGUAACGUGUGGUAGAAGGACAGAACUACUUCUGAAAGUUGUCCUCUGGCUUCCUAAUGUGUGGCAUGAUACCACCCCAGCCCCCCAAACACAUGUACAAAAUAUGCAUAAAUAAAAGGCGGCUGUAACAUAGACACAACACUAUAAUCUGCAGACCUCGUUGAGAUGAGACAUUGUUAUUUGUUCUGAUAGCAU